GACGAACGCUGGCGGCGUGCUUAACACAUGCAAGUCGAACGGAAAGGCCCUGCUUUUGUCGGGUGCUAGAGUCGCGAACGGGUGAAUAACACGUGAAUAACCUGCCCUUGACUUUGGGACAACUUCAGGAAACCGGGACUACCACAGGAUUGGUGCUCCUGCUGCUUGGUGGGGGUCGGACAGCUUCGGAGGUGGGGGAUGGACUCGCGGCUUAUCAGCUUGUUGGUUGGGGAGUGGCUUACCAGGCGUUCGACGGGUAGCCGGCCUGGGAGGGGGACCGGCCACAUUGGGACUGAGAUACGGCCCAGACGCCUACGGUAGGCAGCAGGGGGGAAUAUUGCACAGUGGGCGGAAGCCUGAUGCAGCAACGCCGCGUGCGGGAUGACGGCCUUCGGGUUGUAAACCGCUUUCGCCUGUGACGAAGCGUGAGUGACGGUAAUGGGUAAAGAAGCACCGGCUAACUACGUG
rnacentral:rRNA from 1 species